UGUUCUCCCAGGCCGUCUGAUCUCGCUCUUCGGACCCACAAGCAGAUCUGAUCCAUUUAUAGACUGUUGUGACCACCUUGGCCCUGAGCGUUCGAACACCAGUGUCGUUGCACUUGACCACCCACUCACCAUCCGCCGCUCAGGCCAACCGACCAGUGACCGCCAUGUACGAUGUGAAGUGCUUCGAGAGCUAGACCCGGAGGUUGGUCAAGUCCGAGUUGGGAAACGGGUUGACUUGGUAGUAGAAUAUGGUGUAAUUAAGAACAUAUUAUCAUCCUAAGAGAUCUAUUUUGAGUCAAACCCCCAAAGACACUAUAUAUAAAAUUAAAAAUUAGUAUUGUUGAGAAGAUAUCGAUUAAUACUGUUAGAAACAGGACAGUAUUAAACAAUGUUUAACAAAAGUUUGAAAAGUAAAAAUAUCAAUUUUGAAAGAAAAUGGAUAAAUUUAAAAAAGAAUGAGAUAAUUAUAGAAUUUGGGAUAUAAAAAAAAAUAUGUAAUUGGAGUUCAUGUGAAUAGAAAAUUGAAUUGGAAAUGAUCUAAUUAUGGAAAGUAGAUGACAAGUGGAGAAAAAAAUUCAGAAGGUGAAAGGAUAUUGGUUGAAGUAAUGCUAUGGAUAAACCCAACUUGCAUUCCAAAUGCACAUUUGAUGAGGUGGAGUAUUUGAAUUGGCUGAAAAGACUGGAUGGACCCCAUCAAUCCAAAUAUUCCUUAUCAAGUGUGCAUUUGAAGUGCAAAUUGGGUUUACUAUAGCAUUACUCCAACCAUAUUGGUUGAGUACGUUAAUGACAUGUUGAUGGUCAGUAAGAAUUAAGCUUUAUGACGUGGCAGUAAGUAUUACAAAAAAGACAUUUGUAGCCAUUUGUGAAAACUUUUUUUUAGAAUUACAAAAAAGACCCCAAAGUUUCAAACGGAAGACAUGGACGCUUCGAUCCUAGAGUUUCGUGUUCAUUUAAAUCUUCUCGCCAACAAACACUGGAUCAUUUCAUUCUAUAUACCUCUCCUCGUUGUCUUCGAACAGUGAAAACAAUCACAAAAAAUCCUCGCAAUUCACUAUCCUAAAACCCUAAAAUCAAGGUAAUUCACAAUUGAUUAUCAUUCUUAUGCUUUUUAGUAGUUGUUAACUCGACUCUGUUCAAGCGUUGAGAGAGAGAUCUGAAAUCGUUCGGUUUAAAAAAAUUGACUUUUAUAGUUAUUAUAUAUUUCACGUGUAUAAAGCCCCCAGUAUUCCAUAUUCCAUUUCUUCAAUUUAAAUUUUCAUAUUCCAUUUCUUAGAUGUCAGCCACACAUCUAAGAAUGAACUAAUGGAUUUUUUAUAUAUAAAAAUAACUUAUUUUCUAAGAAAAUACAGCAAAUUCUGUUUUCGUCAAAUAAAUAUAUGGCUUUCACCAAAGAGACCCGGCUUCGAUUUUCGGCAACAAAACCUCCUUUUAUGCGAAAUUAUGUGGAAAGUUUCACUUACACCCCUGAGAUUUACUCUUAUGACAGAUUUCACCUCGGUAUUGUACUUAAGUGGUCGAGUUUUCAAAUCAAUUUCAUAAAACUGUUUUUAAUUAUUUUUGAGAACCAAAAUGUAUAUUGUUUUCAUAUAUUAUUCAUUUUUAUCAAAAAACACUUUUGAGAAUUUGAAGAUACAUUUUUAAUAUUUUCUUAAAAUUCAAAAUGAAUUGAAAAAACAAAUAUAUUUUCCUCCUAUAAAUGUUAAAAAAAUAAAAGGAAUCAAUAAUAGACAAGAAAUAAUUUAUUUAUUUAUAACAAGUACAACAAGUAACGAUGCAUUUUUCACUCUGAAACAAGAGAAAUAAAAACCACACAAUGUCUUUGACAACGGAAACAUACGUAAGCUUCUUAAUCCACACAAUCUCUCACAAGGCCAAUCAUUAAUUAUUAAUACAAGGGAUGGCAGGAAUGGAUCGUAGUCUCUCUGGCAUCCUAACAGAAUCUUUAAUAUUCAAACCCUUGAGCAAAGGUAGUCCACCUUCUUCCACUUUAACUCCUUCACAAAAGCCCCAUCAAUUCGCAGGAAUUGGAGUUGAGGGAAUCCUUUAGCGGUGCAAGCCAAUUUAUUUACACCAUAGAUCAACAAUUCAAGAAAUGUCAGAUUUGGAAGCUUCUCCAAGAUUGGCAUAGGAUCUUCUAGCAUAUUCAAUGUUACUAUGAGGAGAUACUUGAGAUUCGGUAGGAACUUGGGCAACUCUGUUGGUAGCUUCCAACCAGGUAUGUUUGCGUUCAUCAAAUUCAAUUCGAGGAGGUGUUGGCAAUGAGAAAGUGGUUGCAAUGGAGGAAACAAA
rnacentral:lncRNA from 1 species